rnacentral:rRNA from 1 species
UCCAGACUCCUACGGGAGGCAGCAGUGAGGAAUAUUGGUCAAUGGCCGGGAGGCUGAACCAGCCAAGUCGCGUGAGGGAAGACGGCCCUACGGGUUGUAAACCUCUUUUGUCAGGGAGCAAGGUGCAGGUCGGGACCUGCUGUGAGAGUACCUGAAGAAAAAGCAUCGGCUAACUCCGUGCCGGCAGCCGCGGUAAUACGGAGGAUGCGAGCGUUAUCCGGAUUUAUUGGGUUUAAAGGGUGCGCAGGCGGAGGCACAAGUCAGGGGUAAAAUCGCGGGGCUCAACCCCGCUCCGCCGUUGAAACUGGGGAUCUAGAGUGUGCGAGAGGUAUGCGGAAUGCGUGGUGUAGCGGUGAAAUGCAUAGAUAUCACGCAGAACCCCGAUUGCGAAGGCAGCAUACCGGUGCACAACUGACGCUCAGGCACGAAAGCGUGGGUAUCGAACAGGAUUAGAUACCCCAGUA